rnacentral:lncRNA from 1 species
GAGUGUUACUGUUUUCUUUCAUUUGUAUUACUGUUCGUACUAUAUCCUUUAAAAAAAAAACUAUUUUCUGAGCCAGGAAGCAAAGGAGCUUCCAUUUUUAGUGUUUAAUUUGUUUAAUGUGCCUCGGCAAAAGCAAAUAAUUCCUGAGAGAAAGCAGAAUCCUCAGGAAAUUGAAUGUGUUUUGUCUCCAGCGAAGUUUCCCUUGAGUGAUUUCGUUUGCUUUCUGUCUCGCCAAGCAGGCUCUGCACUGGGACCUCCAGCAGGCUGGGGCCAGGCUGGGCAGUCUGCAGCCCCUCUCCCCACCUUAGGUGGUGAGGCUUCUCUGAUCCUCAGCCCACUGGCCAGGUAAACUGUGCUCCCGAAGAACAAAACGUAGCCUUGUAGAGUCAUUCUAAUGCGAGGAGAAAAUAGGAUUAGGCCAGAGUGUCAGCCAGGAAGCAAGGAUGCCUCCUGCCUACAUUUGGGUCUUGGAUUGACUCACUACAUCACAGGACUGCUGGGCUCCAGGAUGCGAAGAUCCAGCCACAACUGGCACCAGAGAACAAGAGAAGCUUCCUUUCCAUCUCUGGUGGCCUGCUCACCAAAGACCCUCUGGUCCCGUCAACUUGGUGUUAACUCUUGGGUGUAAAUGCCUUUGAGAAAAUACCCACUGCACCUCCUACAGUGAAUCCCACUGCUCACACAGGGUUUGUAUGAAGUCUGCCCUUUAUGGGCCAUCUACACAUCUCCUGUAUAAGAUACAGAAGGUGAGUCUACAGUCGUACAUAGGAAGAGCGACCUAGGAUUUAGUGGGCCAAAUACAACCACGAAACGUCGCCUGGCAGCCUGAUUCCACAAACGCUGUAACCUUCCUCCUCCCUCCUGUGGGGACUAGGAAAGAAAAGAGAAAGAGAGGCACAGCCUCUGGUCUCGGAGGUAGGCAGGAAUGGAGGGGUUUCUAAGGGCAGGUCAUCUCCUUUCAACAAACUCAGAGAUUUGGCAAGUCACCAGGUAAUUCUUUCAACCACAAAAUCCGCAGGCAACACAAUUUAAAAUCUCUUGGCAGAGACUUCCGGAAGUGCUUCCUCCCUUCUUUCUCUGGAGCUCCAGCUGCAGGACCACCGUGAGGAAGCUGUCACCGCCGCUAAGGCUGGCUGCCCUCUCUGGGAGUUGCACUUCCUUCCUCCGGUCCCUAAUCUGAGGACUGCUGGAUUGCAGACUUGGAAUAUUGGAGAUUGCGGAGGACGUGACACUUGACCCUGCAACCCGAACCCCGCAGGGGCAGCCGCCGCCUUGCAAAGUAGCAGUCCCCGAGCAGCGCCGCGCGGCGGUGGCCGGCCAAGCCCUCCGGGAGCUCUCCGGGUCCCCUUCCUCGCCCCCACCCCCGCCUUGCUCGCAGCUUGCCUCUGUCGACCCCUUCCCGCAGCCGCGUUUCAAUCAAACUCACUGAGACGGCACCGAGCGGGCGCCGGGGACAAGAAACGCCUCGCCAGCGACAACGCGCGAACAAGCGGAGCCGCGGGCCCCGGCGCCUCCGCCCACACGCGCCCCGCGUGCUGAAACCCGCACCUGGCCCACGGGUAGCCGGAAAAGCCGGGUCCCGGCCCGCCCGCCGGGCCGCCCCUGCUCCCGCUCCCCCAGCUCCAAGCGCUGCGGCUCAGAAACCCACCCGCCCGGCCCAGCCCCCGCCGGAGCCCUGCACCUUGGGGAGCCGGAGGCUGGGGAGGGGACCAGAGAAGGGGAAGAAGGGGCAUCGCCCUUCUUCCUACCCUGGGACAGCGCCUGGACUGGAGCUGGGUGCCGAGGAAACGACGGGAAGAGCUGACAGAGAGGCGGAGGGAGAAAAGAAAGGAAAAGAGGCAGAGACGAGGAAGGGAAGAAAGGGAUCCGAAGUGACCCGCCCUCGGGCCUCCGCGCCGGUGAUGCCCCGCGCCCAGGGCGAGGCCGUGCUUCGCGGGCAUGAGAAGCCAGGAGGCAGCGGAGUGCGGGUCUGGGGCACCGGGGACAUUGCCAAACAUAAUUGGGGUGCCAAACUGGGCUUCUUAAUCUCGAAGCCAGGAUGGGCGGGUGUGGCCGGGGGUGCGCGGGGUCAGCCAGCUUGGGGUGCUUUCCUUCGGGGCUCACACCGGCAGCGCGGACCGGCCGAGGCCGCUGGGACUGCAAGUCCGCCGCCUGCUUUUGUUCUGGGUUCUGCUGUAAUUUAACAUAAAACGCCUGUUAGAAUCACUGCUGCCGAAACACGCGUUUCUCCUUGUUUUGCCACCAACUAACAGGAUUAGGCAACAAGAGCGAGAUUUCAAAUUAACCAUAAAAAUGACAAAUUGCAAUUCAUUUAGCUGCCCACUUACUACAUUAAAAAACAUAAAUAAAUGAAUCUGCGUAUUCAGAGGGUUGAACGGCCCGCAAGGAAGCGAAAGCGGUUGAACUCAGGCCUCCGGGUGGGAGUCAGGGCUGUGGCGCUGGCGAGAGCGGGCCGCCGCGGAAUUCGCACCGUCUUCCAAGGGCCCGGAAAGAGGC